UACAGGGGGUGCAAACGUUGCUCGGAAUUAUUGGGCGUAAAGCGCACGUAGGCGGUUUGUUAUGUCGGAUGUGAAAGCCCUUGGCUCAACUGAGGAAGUGCAUUCGAAACUGGCAAGCUAGAGUAUGUAAGAGGGUCGCGGAAUUCCCGGUGUAGAGGUGAAAUUCGUAGAUAUCGGGAGGAACACCGGUGGCGAAGGCGGCGACCUGGGACAAUACUGACGCUGAGGUGCGAAAGCGUGGGGAGCAAACAGG
rnacentral:rRNA from 1 species